rnacentral:rRNA from 1 species
UACGUAGGGGGCUAGCGUUGUCCGGAUUUAUUGGGCGUAAAGAGCUCGUAGGCGGCUUGUCGCGUCGACUGUGAAAACUCGGGGCUCAACUCCGAGCUUGCAGUCGAUACGGGCAGGCUAGAGUUCGGUAGGGGAGACUGGAAUUCCUGGUGUAGCGGUGAAAUGCGCAGAUAUCAGGAGGAACACCGGUGGCGAAGGCGGGUCUCUGGGCCGAUACUGACGCUGAGGAGCGAAAGCGUGGGGAGCGAACAGG